rnacentral:rRNA from 1 species
CCCUUAGAUGAUUUGGGCUGCACGCGCGCUACACUGACCCUAACAAUGAGCAACUGUCUGGCCUGAGAUGGCUGGGUAGCCUUUUCAACCCAUGUCAUGAUUGGGCUAGAUUUUUGUAAGUCUUGAUCUCUAACGAGGAAUCCCUAGUAUGCGUGAAUCAUCAAUCCAUGCAGAUUAUGUCCCUGCCCUUUGUACACACCGCCCGUCGCUCCUACUGAUUGGGUGAUCCGGUGAGCUGUUCGGCCAUAGCAAUGUUUCUUGAGCAGGGCAGUGAAUGUUUCGCAAACCUUGGCACUUAGAGGAAGGAGAAGUCGUAACA